AUGCUACUUCCUUGCCAUUUAUGUUUAGCUACUUUACAUCGCAAGACAUAUGUUGGCAUGUGCAACAAUGGUGAUCCUUGUCUAGCAGCUCUUGUUCAGCAAUGGCCUACAACUCUACAGUUCACAUCACCAUUGAUGUCGCAGGGAACAGCUUGUCCAGUAGGGUAUAAACACCUCCACCCAAUAGAAAUGCACCACUGCCAAGCAAAUGUUAGUGCAAUGCAUUCUACAAAUAGAAAAUACAAUUUAAAAGGAAUUCUUGGUAUUUUUCUGAGGAUAUUUUCCUCGAUGAUAGGAUCUUGGUUAGAACCUCCGUGA
rnacentral:rRNA from 1 species